CCGACCGGAACCGCCGUUUUCUGCCUUUCCCCCUCGUCACCUUCGUCACACGCGACGAACCUCGCCGCCGACCUCUGAGGCCGACCAAGCGCCCCACACGAGCACCUUCCGCGGGGCGAGCUCGUGGAGGGCAUCGCGACCAAGCGCGGAGGUCUCCAGCCACCUACGAGCGACGCGUAGCGACUGGGCGAGGGCUUUUGGCCGGAGAAAACCAAGAAGAGAAGGCAAGUACACUGUUAUGCUAGUAUGAUUUCCUUGAGCAUCAGGUUUCGGGAUUGGCAGCGGUUUCAUUUCCUCCUCGCGGUUUUUGCCGGGUUUGUUGGUGGAUUGAGUCUUGAUAGAGUUGCUCUUGCCUUUCCCUAUUGUUUCUGGUGAGGAAGAUACCCCCUAGGAUAUGAUGGGGAGCUUGCGGACGGAGUAACGAGGAGACGAGAUAGUUACACGUCACACUGCCCGUACAUCUAAGAGUGCUGAGAAGACUGGUGUUAUUAUGUGUCUUUUAGUUGCAGUAUCGUAUUAACGUCUUCUUUUCCUGUUCUUUUUGUUGGGUCCAUUUAUGUGAUACUACUGGUUAUGUUGGGUAUGGUAGUUCUUAGGGUGGAUUUACUGUUUUGGUACUUUACAGCAUAAUUUUUGUAUGGAUGUUUUGCUUUACCUAGAAAAAAAAA